AGGUGCAUAUGGCCGUGUGGGGAGGCACUUGGGGAACGCUCUUGCAUCCCAGCCAUGGCUGCAGGAUUUCCCAUUCCCAAACCUUGGUCAGAUGGAGAAGGCAGCUGUGAGGAAGCGGAAGAUGCCCCAGGACACCCAGGCAGACAAGGAGCUGAGGAUGGAGACCAGGGAGGACAAAUCCCCACGGCAGAACCUUGUGGAAGAGGCCAUUUUGAGCAGCUCCAUGGUGCAGGAAUCCUGUGGGGAGGAAAAGCCCCAGAGAUCCCGCAGGAGUAGGGGCUCCUCACUCAGGCCUGGGUGCUCUGAGGAGGAAAGACCCACCCUGUGCCGGGAAGGCGGUCGGAGAUUCAGCCGGGGCUCUGAGCUGGUGGUCC